AUGUAUAGAUAGAUUGUGUAAGGGUACAAUUGUGAGGACAACAGGAACAUGGCAGAUUAUUUAAAAUCAUACUAAAGAUGAUGCUGUGUCUGAUGAAAGUGAUUCUAAACCAUAGAAAAACGAUUCAAGACAGACAAGAGCUGCAGCAGUGGGUAGAGGACUCCUACAGAUGAGAGAUCGCCCCUUCUGCUGCAAGAAAGGCCUCAACAACUGGGUCAAUGUGGCUGCAGGGAAGCUCAUCCUUUCUCAGAAUGGCCCUACUUGCCCGAUCUCAUGGCUGGCCCUUCAGGACCAUUGAUGGGCUGCCAGCCGCCUCCUCUACCGGGUGUUGUCUGGGAACUCAAACACUCCCUCCAUCUGAAGGUUUUCUGGGACCUCAACAAACUCCUCCACUGGAGUGUCCUCUGGGAACUCAAGCACCUCUUGCACUGGAGAGUCCCCUGAAAACUUAACCACCUCCUCCACUCGAUUGUUCUCCAGGGCCUCAUCCAGCUCCUGCAGCUGUCAGUCCUCUCAGACCUCAUCCACCUGCAGCUGUCAGUCCUCUCAGACCUCAUCAACCUGCAGCUGUCAGUCCUCUGGGACCUCAUCCACCUCCUGCAACUGGCAGUCCUCCCGGAUCUCAUCUACCUGCAGCUGUCAGUCCUCCGGGACCUCAUCCAC
rnacentral:lncRNA from 1 species